rnacentral:rRNA from 1 species
UACGUAGGGUGCUAGCGUUGUCCGGAAUUAUUGGGCGUAAAGAGCUCGUAGGCGGUCUGUCGCGUCGGCUGUGAAAACCCGGGGCUCAACCCCGGGCCUGCAGUCGAUACGGGCAGACUAGAGUGCGGUAGGGGAGACUGGAAUUCCUGGUGUAGCGGUGAAAUGCGCAGAUAUCAGGAGGAACACCAAUGGCGAAGGCAGCUCGCUGGGACGGUACUGACGCUGAGGAGCGAAAGCGUGGGGAGCGAACAGG